rnacentral:rRNA from 1 species
AGACAGGUUAGUUUUAUCCUACUGAUGAGUUGUUCAUCGCUACAGUAAUUGAGGUUAGUACGAGAGGAACCCCUGAUUCACGCAAUUGGUAAUGGGGUUGCUUGAACAGGCAAUGCCCCGACGCUAUCACGUGUUGGUUUAGGGCUGAACGCCUCUAAGUCCGAAACCAUGCUGGAUGCGCGAUG